UACUCUUUGGUUUCAGGGAGCUGGAAGUGUAAUUCAGUGGUAGACAGCUUGCCUGGCAUGUGCAAGGCCCUGGGUUCAGGCUCCCAUACCACAAAAAAGCA
rnacentral:miRNA from 1 species